rnacentral:rRNA from 1 species
GUAAUUGGAAUGAGUGCGAUUCACAACGCUGCACGAGUAUCAAUUGGAGGGCAAGUCUGGUGCCAGCAGCCGCGGUAAUUCCAGCUUCAAUAGCGUAUAUUAAAGUUGUUGCGGUUAAAAAGCUCGUAGUUGGAUUUCUGUCAGUGGGCGAUGCUCCGCCCCUCGUGGUGAGUAGUCAUCGAUACGCUGGCAUCUUCUUGGGGAGCGUAUCUGCACUUCACUGUGUGGUGCGCAAGCCAGGACUUUUACUUUGAGGAAAUGAGAGUGUUUCAAGCAGGCGCACGCCGUGAAUACGUUAGCAUGGAAUAAUAGCAUCGGACCUCGCUCCAAAGCUGUUGGUUUCUUGGGUCGAGGUAAAGGUGAAUAGGGAUUGUUGGGGGCAUUCGUAUUUAACUGUCAGAGGUGAAAUUCUUGGAUUUGUUGAAGACGGACUACUGCGAAAGCAUUUGCCAAGGAUGUUUUCAUUGAUCAAGAACGAAAGUUAGGGGAUCGAAGACGAUCAGAUACCGUCCUAGUCUUAGCCAUAAACCAUGCCGACUA